UACGUAGGGGGCAAGCGUUGUCCGGAAUCAUUGGGCGUAAAGCGCGUGUAGGCGGCUUGGUAAGUCUGGUGUGAAACCUCGGGGCUCAACCCCGAGCCUGCACUGGAUACUGCCUCGCUUGAGUCCGGGAGGGGAGAGCGGAAUUCCUAGUGUAGUGGUGAAAUGCGCAGAUAUUAGGAAGAACACCGGUGGCGAAGGCGGCUCUCUGGAACGGUACUGACGCUGAGACGCGAAAGCGUGGGGAGCAAACAGG
rnacentral:rRNA from 1 species